rnacentral:sRNA from 1 species
AUGAGUGAAACGUAUCGAGACACGAAGGGAGCGAAAUGCAGAUAUGCUAGGAUAUAUUCAACAAGUAUCAUUCUAUUAUCAUGAGAUCGACCUACUUCAAUAGGAAGUCCGACUAAUUAGUACAUAAUUGGACGGAAUGUAUUACCUCGCUGACAUUUUUACCUUAAUUAAUAUCUUUUAGCUCCUUAGAGGAAAAUUGCAAUUUCCUAGUGAAAUAAAGGAAUUGAUGGCAAGAGACUAUCCAGGGUGCAUCAAUGUAAGAAUUGAAGCAUACAUGUUUUGAGCUUGGGUCAUGCCACAAGUUAUCUUAGGCAUCUUCCAAAGGCAAGCCUAAUAGGUGUGUAAGAGUUUUUCAUAAGGUGAGUAAGUAAGAACAAUCAAUCACUUAAGGAUGGAUAUGUGGACAUACAAGUAAAUGGAUUGACAUUGGUAUUGGACUUAGUAAUGUUUAAACCGGUAUUGAACAUAAUGGAGGGAAAACUAAAGAACUCAAUUUCGAAAUAAGAUGUAGUUACAACCUCUUGGACGCGGAUAGAAACUGCUACCAUGAUAGGAGAAGCAAGUAGAAUCCUAUAAUUAAAGACAUGUCUUGGCCUCUCUUCUCGGUUUUACUUGUUCAUAAAGCUUGUCCUAUUGAGAGCAGAACUAUGUUGAAACUUAAAGAAGAGAAGGUCAGACUCUCCAGACAUUUGUCAUGCCUACAUAUGCAGAUACGAACUGAUAUCAUUUUGGGUAAUUUCUUAUUAUAUGUUCUAACUAAUAGAGUGUGGUUUAAUGGCUUUAUUGUUUUUAAUAAUGCUCAAUUAUGGUUAUGCAUAUUAUGCUUUCAUGUGGUAUCAAAGCAGGUCAAUAAUAGCCUUAAACUCAUUUACAGAUCAAAAUUGUAUUGUUUGAAUUCUGCUGCAUUUGUUUUCAAUAAUUUAUAUGUUUUAGUUUAUACAAUGUGUUGCGAAACCAGAUCUAGAAAGGAAAUAUGGUGUACAACCUGAAAAUGAAAAAAUAAUUUUUUAAGAUUUGGUUCAUUGUCCUUUUCUUAGUUUAUACACAGUGUAGUUUAUACACAUAAACAAGUAGAUUUGUUUCCAAAGGAAUCGCUUAUGAAAAUCAAAGUGUAGUUUAUACACAUAAACAAGUAGAUCUGUUUCCAAAGAAAUUUGUCUACUGGGUUCGUUAUAAACUAAUGUAUAGUGAGUAUCAUUUGCUUUAAGGUUAUAUUAGUAUUGAGAAUGUGAUUUGAGAUUAUACAUGAACUUUGCCUUAUUGAUGAUUAUGUUUAUUAUGGUGGUCAAGUACUUGUGAGACAAAUGUGUGUCGUAUGGGUGUGAUACUCUUGAACUCCAUAUUCCUCAGUCGGCCUACUAAUCCAAUUAUCCAUAAUAUGUUACUAGCAAUACCUAUAAUAGCUAGUUUGGAUUUUAUACAUGCAUUAUUGAUUGAGUUUUUUGUCUUCGCUUGAAAAUUCUGAAUAAAUAUGAACGACACUCAUGUCCGUAUAUGAAGGGAUUUAAUGGUUUUAAUGAUAGAAAGUUAUGAUUUUUGCAUGGUUAAAGAAGUUUGGCCAUCAUAAAGUUAAAGAUUGCUUGGUUUGGCCAAAUGGUUCGGAUAGGAAAUAAUAGACUUGUCAUUUAAUUGACCCAUUAUUGUUAAUGGUCCAUUUUAUCAUAUUGUGAGAAUAGUGAAGUUCAAGAUGUUAACUUGUAAAUUGUGUCUUAUGACUUUACUCAAAUUUUGUUGAUGUUGUUUUGCAAUGACGUUGGAGUUUUAUACUAAUAUAAUCCUCAUUUCUACCAAAUUUCCUUAUUACAUUGAUGAUGAUAUAUAAACUUUGAAACGUUGUCGAUUAAAAGAAAAGGAAUCGCUGAGGUUGAAUGUCAUGAUUUCGGACUUGUUAUUAAGAUGACAAUUUGCCCUUAUUAUUUGUUGUUUUGAUAUUGGUAAAUUAUCAUUUUGCCAAUUUAUAUAUACAAUUUGCUGUAUAAUUGAGGAUGCUUUGUUGCUUUGAAAAUUGCAAGUACAUUGGUUUAUGACUCUCAGCUUGUUCAUGUCUUUGAAAUCCUUAUUUAUUAUUUUUUUAUUAAGUUGACUUGUUGAUCAUAUCUUGUUCAAGGAAUUUUUAGAAUUGGGUCUUCUAGUUUGAUAUCUUAAUUACCAAGGUAAUGGGAUAUUGAUUCAAAUGUUAUGUUUGAUAAGUUGUUUGGAUAUCUACUUAAUAUGGGUUUUUAAUCGUACUGCAAAUACAAUUCCAUCUUGCUUCUCUUUUGUAAUGUUAUCUCUGUAUUGCACAUGCUAGAUAGACUAUUAAGUUUUGAUCUUUGUUUCGAAAUUGAUUAGUUUGAUUUGAUCAUGACAUGACAAUGAUUGAACAUUAUUGAAAUGUUGUAUGAUUGAGGCAAUUUAUAUAUUACGAAAAUUGGAAUGAAGUUAUUUUGCUUGAGAUUGAUGUUUUACGUCAAUAUUUUUGUAGAGAAAUCAAUAAAAGGAUGACACAAUUUAACGUGAAAAGGAAAACGAGAAAUUGGUUAUGUCACAGACUUUUCCUUGCAACACAUCCUUUUUUUAUGCUACUUUUGAUCAACUUCGAAAUUCGGUCAUGUGUGUAGUACAGAAUGGACUGUUUGCAUUGAAAUUUUUUUUUCGUAUUUUUUCGAUAUGAAAUAGAAUUAUGGUAAAAUGUUAAACAUGAAACUAUGUUGAUGGAAUGUUGCAGAUUUAUGCAUCAUAUCCUGUUUGUGAUGUCAUUUUGAUAGACCUACUUGACUCCUAAAUUUAUGAAAUUUUAACAUGUUAUACAUUAGGAUGUGAACUCUAAAUCUAGAAAUUUUUCAAAGCAAUGGUUGAAAAUUAUUUUUUGAUGAAUUUUUUUAAUCGCGGGUCUCUACUACAUAAUACUUUUCGUCUAGCCAAAAAAUCUGCCGUCCGUCCCAUUUGAGAUUUAUUUUUUGACCACUUAUAAAAUCUCAAAAAUUAUGAAAUUUUGUGAAAUAGCAUGUUUAUAUGUCUACUUCACAUCUGUAAAUUUUCAUGACGUUUAAGAAUUGGAUCUUAAACGAAAUUGCAAACUAAGGACAACUUGUUGUUUUUGUGACUUCAAAUUAGUGAUUUUUUUUCUUUCUAAAAUAUUGUUUUCACUAAUUUAUAUACACCUCAGGUACCAAUUCUUAGAAGUAUUUAUUUAUUUCACUAUGUAACUAUUUACUAUACAAUUUCUCAUAGUCUAUUAAGUUUUAGGUAACAUUGAUUAAACUAUACAUGGAUGGAAAUAAGUAUUGGUUUAUUUUGUUCAAACCAAUGAUUUUGUUUGGCCAUCAAUUUUGCUUAUGGUAAUUAUUGUGUUUCAAGAUAAAAUUGAUAAGUGGCAUAAGCGUAGCAAUUAAUCAUGUUUUGAUAAGUGGCAUAAGUAUAUUAAUCAUUUUGGACACAAAUGAUUUUCUUUGUGGUUUCAUGUCUUAGGCACAACUGCAUAGAAUUUUUUUUUUCUGCAAAAAUAUAUUUAUGACUAUAUGUUAGUAACAUGUGCUUUUGCAUAAUUCUAUGUUGCCAUAAAUAGUGAGUGUUUGCCCAUGUGGGAGAAUUAAUAUAUGUUGUGGACUUCACACUCAUUAAAUUUUUUUAGGCUUGGGGAUUUCUGAUUUCCUUGUGAGCAAUAAGUUGAACAACAAGUUGAUCAUCACAAAUUUGGUAUGGAAAUACUUCUUGCUGGUUCAAAAUUUCUUAUUGUUGAGGAGCUUGUAAAUCAUUUUGACUAGUUAGUAUACUUGAUUAACUUGAUGACUAAGAAAGAAGCAUUUCGACUGGUAACUCGUCAUUAAAUUAUGUUGUGGCUUCAUAUUCAUUAAAUGUUAUUAGUGAAUGUUGUCGGUAAAUAUGUUGUGGGCUUCAUACUUAUUUCAGUUGUAGAGAUAAAACUUAUGUUAGUUUGUUUUUGUUUUAUCUAUGGUUUAUAUGUUAUUGAUGAACAAGAAACUUUAUUGGUCAGUACAUUUGGUUGAUCUGAUGAUUGAGAAGAACAUCUAGAGGCAGAUAUAUUCUUCAAUACUGGGAGAACAUCUUUAAUGUGUGACCUUGUGUUUUAUAUUUUAAUUAAGUAAACCGAUUAUAAUUAAUUUUUGUCCAUACAGGAUUCCAGAAUUAUAUGCCUUUUGUUACAUUGAGAAAACAAUCAGUUAAAGUUUUAUGAAUUUUCAGUUGCAUGAAUCAUUUCUCUAUAGUUGUCUCUCAUAGAGAUAAAGUCAGAAAAUCAAUAAACUAUGUUGACCUACCAAAUUUUUUUGUUGUAAAUCUCAUAACUAAUGCUUUAUCAGUGGGAGUGUUUAAAAUGAAUUUGUUUCAUUUUAAAAAGGCAUGUUUCGAGUAUAGGACUGAGGCCUUUUGUUGAUUGGACUUGAAUGUGGGAGCAAGGUACUAUGGUUUUAUUUCAUUCAAGUUUACGGCCUGAAUAUUUAGUUGUUGUUUCGAUUCAAUAUCAUAUUAUUCACUUGUAAACAAAACAAGGUGAAGUUUCUGAUUAGUUAUUUCAUUAAUAAUGUUGAUCUUUGCAAAGUAAUGAUAUGAAGUAUGUCGUUUAACUUCAUGGGACCAAAAGACAUGUGGGAGCAAUAAUGGUAUUGUUAAGCUUCCAUCUUAAAACCCUCCAAUUUGUAACUUUAUAAUUGAUGAGAUAGGUUUUGUGAUUUUAGAGUACGAAUGGAAAUAGCUUGCAUCAUGUGUGCUAAAGUUCGAACUAAUGAAUCAUUAUAGUUAGAUGAAAAGUCGUGUAUUUCUAAUGUUAAUCAACGAUCACCUUUACUUGUAUGGAACAUAUUAGUGAUUAGCUUGAUUAUACUCAUGUGGGAGAAUGUAAGAGUUUUCCAUAAGGUGAGUGAGUAAGAACAAUCUAUCACUUAAGGAUGGAUAUGUGGACAUACAAGUCGAAUGGACUGACAUUGGUAUUGGACUUAGUAAUGUUUAAACCGGUAUUGAACAUUAUGGAGGGAAAACCAAAGAACUUAAUUUCGAAAUAAGAGGCAGUUACAACCUCUUGGAAGUGGAUAGAAACUGCUACCAUGAUAGGAGGAGCAAUUAGAAUCCUAUGAUUAAACAUGUCUUGGCCUCUCUUCUUGGUUUUACUUGUUCAUAAAGCUUGUCCUAUUAAAAGCAGAACUCUGUCGAAACUUAGAGAAGAGAAGGUCAACACCAGACAUUCAUCAUGCCAGGUACGAACUGAUAUCAUUCUGGGUAAUUUUUUAUUAUAUGUUCUGACUGGUAGAGCAUGGUUUAAUGGCUUUAUUGUUUUCAAUAGUGCUCAAUUAUAUGUUUUCAAUGUGUACUUUUGCCUUGCAUUUUUGUCCACCGUACAUAGAUCGGGCCACACACAGGUGAUUGCCAUACAUCCUUAACCGUAUACGCAGACCAGAUAAUCCAUGAGUUCGGUAUUGAGCCAGUGACAAUACCCAGAUCUACAAGAUUAGGGAAGACGUAAGGUAAUCCAUUAAUGAAGAAAACCUUAGAUACAACAGAAACUAUUCAACCAAUUCACUUUUAGUUUCUUUCAUCAAGACCGACCCCAACCAUUGCAAUUUGCAAGACCAUACUUCUAGUAACAUAAGCUUUGGCGCGAUGUUUACAUCAUUGCGAGCAGGCCUCGAAAUGAGAAAUCUCUCUGCAAGUUGGGUAAAGCUCCAUAUAUCCAAUCUUUUUAUAUAGUCAAUCAUAUGAGUCUAAGGAAUCUUUUGUUCUCUAUAAUCCAGAAGCUAGUUAUCACAACCUAAGCAAUCAAAACAUUUGUGAAAGCUUUUCAUUUAGUGACCAACUAUGGUGGAAGCAUCGAUAUGUUAUUGUCAGAUAGGCCCAGCUCAGUGAGUGAACUAAGAUUUUUAAACUCCUGCAUGCCAACAAUAACAAGGACAAUCAAGAAUUCAGAUCGUAAUUAAAUUAACGUACCACAAGAAGGAAAGAAGUUCUUUGAAGUACAUGAUUUAUGAACUGAGAACCAAAAUCUUAUCGAGCCAUUUAGAGGAUUUCCUUGGACUGCCAAAGGCAAGCCCCACAAUUUUUCCGGAGUACAUAAAAACUUAGUUUAUACCAUAUGCAACGUGAAACUUAAUUUAUUACAUGAGACUUGAACCUAGGACCUAAACCUUUACCCAUCUCCUCACAGUGCCACAUGAACAAAGGCUCUUUGGAAAAGAAAAUCACCUUAUUUUAAUGAUGUCGUUUUAAGAAUACAUCCGCUUAUUAAAAUUUGCGUUCUAAAGAAUGCUUAUUGUUUUCUUUUGUACAAACCAAUAUUUUAUCGUUUAACAAAUUUAUGUUCCUUAGUUUUAAAUACUAUAGCAAGACACUAAUGCCCUAAUGACAGCCACGGCUAUGCCUCCGUGCAGGGUGCCUCCCCAAAUGGCAGGCAUGGCUGCAACAAUUAGGUUUUCUUUUGUUUCUGCUUGUCAUAAGUUCACUAACCUUAGGUAAAGCUCCUGCAAAUGUAGUAAGCUAGAAAAUGCGGGAUGCUGUGGUAAUGAAGCCACGUUACCACUUAGAUAUGGAAUCUGAAGCAUAGGAGCUGCUUGAAAUCCUUUUAGUGGAAUCUACAAGUCAAGAAAUAAGGAGGGCACUCACAUCUUUUCGUUUGAUAUACAAUGUUUGAGCCAUUACUUGACAGAUUAAAUUUUUGGAACCACAUCCCUCCUUUGUUUACUAAAAUUCUAAUAUCUCAUGAAUAUGCAUUGACAAGACAAGAAAAAGGCGAUUGUACCAGCUAAGUGUAUUUACCUGUCUUGCUGGAUUACUGUCCAGCUUCAAACACAAAAUGUUAGGAAGCAACCGUAUAAUUGCACCUUAUCAGUCUGUAAUCUUGUUCCUGGAUAAAAUUAAAGUCUGCACAUUUGGACAAAUAUAAGGAUGACUUGCAUUCAGAACGGUAAUUAGCUAAAACUAAAACUUAUAGGAGAAAUCGGCCAACCCUUAUAAUUUAAAGAGGAAAUUGACGAAGACCUCUUUAAUUAUAAUUUAGUUGUCACAUUUUAAGCUCUUCUAAAUUUAGUAACUUUUUGCAAAAUUAAUUUCUCAUUGAUAAUUUUAACUGGAUUUAUUUUGAAAAUGAUACGUACUCGUGUCGCAUGUUCUCACUUCUCGUCAUUUGAUAA